rnacentral:tRNA from 1 species
GCGGUAUUGGUGAAGUGGUUAACACGCCAGAUUGUGGCUCUGGUAUUUCAAGGGUUCGAUUCCCUUAUAUCGCCCCA